AAAGUCGGAACGACAGGUGCUGCAUGGCUGUCGUCAGCUCGUGUCGUGAGAUGUUGGGUUAAGUCCCGCAACGAGCGCAACCCUUAUCAUUAGUUGCUACGCAAGGGCACUCUAAUGAGACUGCCGGUGACAAACCGGAGGAAGGUGGGGAUGACGUCAAGUCCUCAUGGCCCUUAUGGGUAGGGCUUCACACGUCAUACAAUGGUCGGUACAGAGGGUUGCCAAGCCGCGAGGCGGAGCCAAUCCCACAAAGCCGAUCGUAGUCCGGAUUGUUCUCUGCAACUCGAGAGCAUGAAGUCGGAAUCGCUAGUAAUCGCAGGUCAGCAUACUGCGGUGAAUACGUUCCCGGGCCUU
rnacentral:rRNA from 1 species